GCAAAAGCUCAAAUUUGAAAUCUAGCACUUUCAGUGUUCGAGUUGUAAUUUGAAGAAGGUAACUUUCGAGUUGGCUCUUGUCUAUGUUCCUUGGAACAGGACGUCACAGAGGGUGAGAAUCCCGUGCGAUGAGAUGCCCAAUUCUUAGUAAAGUGCUUUCGAAGAGUCGAGUUGUUUGGGAAUGCAGCUCUAAGUGGGUGGUAAAUUCCAUCUAAAGCUAAAUAUUGGCGAGAGACCGAUAGCGAACAAGUACAGUGAUGGAAAGAUGAAAAGAACUUUGAAAAGAGAGUGAAAAAGUACGUGAAAUUGUUGAAAGGGAAGGGCUUGAGAUCAGACUUGGUAUUUUGUGUGCCUUUCCUUUUUGGUUGGGUUUCUGCAGCUUACUGGGCCAGCAUCGGUUUGGGUGGCAGGAU
rnacentral:rRNA from 1 species